ensembl:miRNA
GUGAUGACUGUCCCCACCUCUUCCUCUCGGUCCCAUAUUGAACUCGAGUUGGAAGAGGCGAGUCCGGUCUCAAA